CAUAUCAAGGUAAGACAAAAAAAAAUUAUGUUUUACCCUUAGCAUUUAUACUCAUUUCAAAUCAUUUUUCCAACUCCAAUACAAUUAUACACCAUUUAAUAGGGAUAUUGUGGUAAAAUAUCUAUCUUAAUUAUUGUUUCUUAAACAGCUUGAAAAGUCAAAAUGUGACAAGUAAAAGUGAACGGAGGGAGUACAAAUUUACCAAUUAACUAUGAUAGGUUAAGUUCAGAGUUUUCCUAUGUACAAUCUCAAUUAUUGAAAAAUAAAUUACACUCCUUAACUAUGCUCCAUCUUUUCUCAUUAAAUGCAAAAGUUGUGUAUGGACUAUGAUGCCUUAUACUUGAAGAUACCACGAUUCUGUUAAACUUGGAGAUGUAUGUUAGUUCCUCCGAUCGAGGCAGAUCAUUUCGAUUGCGUUUGCUCAUGGAUAAUUUUAAAAUUCAUGAAAUUCAAUUGCAUUUAGUUCCAAGACUUGGCAAGGUGAGGAAUUGAAAUUUUUCUUCUAUAUAAGAUGUGAAAUUACCUCUCUUUGAGAGUAAAGUAUCUUAAUUGUUGUAUAGGAAAGUGAGUUUUUAAGCAUUUUUCUUUGGAAGGUUCUAAAAAUUUAUAAACUGAAAUAUUAGGAGAGGAACUGCCGAGCCAUUUGAUGUUUUUGUGUUAUAGUUUGAGCACCCCAGUAUCGAUAUUAUGUCAUUUUUUGCAUUGAAUAGAGUAUGCUUUAGUUGGCUUUAAAGAUGGUUAUGCAUUUUGCUACUUAAAGUGCCCAAUAGUAAUUACAUGUUGAACUAAUUUUAUCGCAUCAUAAGCGGUUCAUUUUGUCUCUUCCUCCAAGAAAUGUAUUUAUAUUCAUGAAUGUCCAGUUUAUUUUUGACAAAUUUUAUGUAUAAAUAUAUCUAUAAAAAAAUUAUUUGUAAAUAUUUACACACAACUAUUCAAUACCUCUUUUUCCUUUUGAUAUGGGAGGACUUAGCAAUACUUACUAGACACCUGCAUGCAGUGGGUUUAGGUUCAUUAUGUCUUAUAAUUCUAAAUAUCAAUUUUGAAGUUGGUAUACAUUCCUUCUUCUAUACAAAUAUACACCUAAUUUAACUGGAAUUAGGAGUUGAGGGUGGAGAUGAAAAAGGUACCCGGGCUUAAGGUUUUUAAACUAAAAAUGACAUGUUCAUAGUUUAAAAGACCAUAGCAGCAAAUCAGUGAUACUUGACACUUUAUUUCUCAAAUAGUUUAAUAUUCAAAAGAAGAUACCAAAGGUUAAAGAUUUCCAAGAAAAAAUUUGAUUGUGUUUUGAAAAGUUGAAGGACAAUUCAUAUUAUUCUUUGGAGUCUAAUUGUGAACAUUAUUUUUUAUCAUAUCAUCGAAGGAGUGAUAAAAUGAUGAUUUGUGUCCUAAAGUAGAAUGUCGUUUCUGAAAAAUGGAUCUCUCUCUGACUAUUUAUGGUGUGAAAACCUUCCGUUCUUGAUUGUGCUUGCUAUCUCUAGAAGAAUAUGUGACUGUACAGAGGACAAUGAAGAAGUGAUAAGUAGAAUGUGGAAGUGCGUAAGCGGUGCAAGGAAGUAAGAUGUGGAGGUGUGUAAGUAAUGCAGUUAUGAUAUUUUAUUAUAUCUGAAAUAUGUUUAAUGCAUUUCUUCUGAUUCAAGUGUAGUUAGAAGUUUGGGGGGAAGAGCUCUUUGUGUAGUUACAGACUUAAAGCAGAUGAACAACAAGAAGAAGAGGGGUGAUGAACGACGAGGGUUAUGACACCAAAUUGGUAAAUCACUUAAAGUGGUUGGCACACGCUGUGAAUGGCUAACUUACUUUCAAACAUGACAGCUUAAUUAUAACAGUGCAAGUUAGCAGAGAUCUUUAGAAAAUGAUCAAGCAGGUCUUCUGGUGAAGAAUACAAAGGCAUUUUGUUAGUAAGAAGGAUUGUUAUGCUGAUUUGGAAGUUUUUGAUCGCCUCAAUGUUCUAGAUUUACAGGUAUAGAUGUGUCAUUUUCUUUUUAAGUUGCUUCAAACAAUUUUUGCUUUAACCACGUGGAAUCAUUUAUCCAGUAUUAAACAACUCUAGAGAUAAACAUGAAGAUCACUAUUUACUCAUUUUAAACCUCUUAUUUAAUGGAGCAAAAACUGGAGGUAGCAUAUGAAUCCUAAUUGUUUCAAAAUACAUCGCAUUCUGCUCUCUUGCUUUGUCGGUAUUAUAUAAGUACUGUCAAUUUCCCUUCACAAUAUUUUUUUCUCAUGACCUAUUCUUUAUAUCAUUUCUGCAAAUUUUUGUGUUUCAUGGAUACACAAUGCAGGUAAGGAGACGGCCUUACAAAAGACAAGAAGCAAAGAGAUACAAUAGCUAAUAUAUCCAAAAGAAGCAAAGAGAUACAAUAGCUAAUAGAUCCAGAACAUACUUUGGCAUCAAUAUAUCUGCAAAUAUGUAUAGUUGUGUGGUAUCUUCAACAUCUCUGUAAAUGUGAUACCUCAUGCAACUUUUAUUGAAUAACUGUUACUCUAUACGUUCUUUCUAUGAUGGCAUGUGCCACAUAUUAACCAUCUGAUAGCUUCAAGCCAAUUAGCUUUAUGUUUCUCUA